CACGUAGGUGGAUAGUUAAGUGAGGGGUGAAAUCCCGAGGCUCAACCUCGGAACUGCCUUUCAUACUGGCUAUCUUGAGUUCGGAAGAGGUGAGUGGAAUUCCAAGUGUAGAGGUGAAAUUCGUAGAUAUUUGGAAGAACACCGGUGGCGAAGGCGGCUCACUGGUCCGAUACUGACACUGAGGUGCGAAAGCGUGGGGAGCAAACA
rnacentral:rRNA from 1 species